CAUUUUCUUCUGAGCGCUGGUCUCACAGCCUCCUACAAGUUUGGUGUGCUUUGUUUCCAUUUUCAUUUAUCUCAAAGAAUUUUUGAACAUCACUUGUAAUAUAUAAUGUCCUUCUUUGCCUCUUGUAAUAACUUUCAUUGACUGACCCAUCUUUCUUUUCCUUCCUGCCUUGCCUCCUUCCUUCUUUCCUUCCUCCCUCCCUCCAUCCCUCCCUCAUUUAAACUGUUGGCAGGACACAGUGGCUUACAUCUAUAAUUCCAGAAUUUGGGAGGCCAAGGCAGGUGAAGUGUGUGAACCCAGAAGUUUGAGACCAGCCUGGGCAACAUGGUGAAACCCAGUCUCUACAACACAACACAACAAAACAAAAUCUAAAAUUAGCCGGUCACCUAUAGGUGCAGCUAUGCGGCCACUCAGGAAGCUAAGGUCAGUGCAUCUAUUGAGCCCUGGAGGUCAAGGCUGCAGUGAGCCAUGAUCACACCACU
rnacentral:lncRNA from 1 species